rnacentral:rRNA from 1 species
UACGUAGGGGGCAAGCGUUGUCCGGAAUCAUUGGGCGUAAAGCGCGUGUAGGCGGUUCGGUAAGUCGGGUGUGAAAGUCCAGGGCUCAACCCUGGGAUGCCGGUCGAUACUGCCGGACUAGAGUUCGGAAGAGGCGAGUGGAAUUCCCGGUGUAGCGGUGAAAUGCGCAGAUAUCGGGAGGAACACCAAUGGCGAAGGCAGCUCGCUGGGACGUUACUGACGCUGGGACGCGAAAGCGUGGGGAGCAAACAGG